AAUAAGUACAGCCAUAAGUUUCCGCGCUUAAUUUUGAUCGUCUGUCUUAUUUAAAUUUUUUUUAUAAUUACCAUUUUUAUUGUUAUAAGAUGAUAAAACAUAAAUAGUAUUUUACUCGUGACUUAUGUUUUAAUUAUUUUAAAAAAAGUUUUCAUAUAAAAAGAAUGGUCAAAAUUGAACGUGAAAAACUAUUGUUAGG
rfam:Oryza nivara chromosome 12, whole genome shotgun sequence.